CCUAAGUGCCUGCCUGGCAAGAUCAAGGUUGUGAAUUCCAUUCCUGGUACAAAAAAAAAAAAAAAAGAUGAAAUAAUUGAGUCUCAUCCCCUGACCCCUAAGGAUUUGGAGCUUCUGGAAGAUGAACAGUUCAUAUUUGAGCAAGAUCACAUAAGUAGGAGGGUUCCUGCAACUCGUUCUUAACAAUGUUCAACAUAAUGUUCAAAGGAUUUUCAACCGGUGUCUUGCUGGGAGAUGGUGUACACUCA